rnacentral:rRNA from 1 species
GACGAACGCUGGCGGCGUGCUUAACACAUGCAAGUCGAACGGAAAGGCCCUGCUUUUGUGGGGUGCUCGAGUGGCGAACGGGUGAGUAACACGUGAGUAACCUGCCCUUGACUUUGGGAUAACUUCAGGAAACUGGGGCUAAUACCGGAUAGGAGCUCCUGCUGCAUGGUGGGGGUUGGAAAGUUUCGGCGGUUGGGGAUGGACUCGCGGCUUAUCAGCUUGUUGGUGGGGUAGUGGCUUACCAAGGCUUUGACGGGUAGCCGGCCUGAGAGGGUGACCGGCGAGGUGGGGAAGGCGGAGCGGCCACAGGGCAGAGGGCGGGGAGAAGGGAGGAAUAGGGAAAGAGGGGCGGAAGCGUGACGAAUCAGCGCCGGGUGGGGGAUGGGGGCCUUCGGGGGGAAAGCCGGUUGCGCAGGGGAAGAGGCGGGGGUGGAGAAAAGGGGUAAAGAAGCACCGGCUAACUACGUGACAGCAGCCGCGAUAAUACGCGGAAGAGCACGCGGCUGAAC